UCACUUAAAGAGCGCAUAUGAUAACAUUGAAACAAUACAGAGGAAAAUAGCAAGGUUCCUAUUCAAUGAAAACAUGCAGAUUUGUGAAGAAUUUCAUAUUUUU
ensembl:snRNA U6 U6 spliceosomal RNA